rnacentral:lncRNA from 1 species
GAUGGCAAGAUUGAAGAUUUUGAGCCAAGACCAAGUGCUACAAGUUAUGAUGGUGAUCUAAAAAGUGAGUUUGAACCCAGACCAAGUGUUACAAAAUAUGACGGUGAUUAUUAUAAAAAUAAGAAGUCACAACUGAAUGAUGAGUUUGAACCUAGGCCAAGCGUCACAAGGUAUGACGAUGGUAGUUAUAAAAAUGGGAAGUUGUAUGUGAGUGCCGAAUUUGAACCUAGGCCAAGUGCUACAAAGUAUGACGGUGAUGGUUACAAAAUGGCGAAACUACCUGUAAAUAGUGAAUUUGAACCUAGGCCAAGUGUUACAAAAUAUGACGGCGGUGAUUAUAAAAAUAAGAAGUCACGAGUGAAUAGUGAGUUUGAACCUAGGCCAAGCGUCACAAGGUACGAUGAUGGUAGUUAUAAAAGUGGGAAGUUGUAUGUGAGCGUUGAAUUUGAACCUAGGCCAAGCGUUACAAAGUAUGGCGGUGAUGAUUAUAAAAUGGUGAAACUACCAGUAAAUAGUGAGUUUGAACCUAGACCAAGUGCUACAAAGUAUGACGGUCAUGAUUAUAAAAAUAAGAAGUUGCAUGUGAAUGAAGAGUUCGAACCUAGACCAAGCGCCACAAAAUAUAAUGAGUAAUGAAAUAGAAGACUGUGAGAUUGCCAUAAGAGAAAAAUAGUGUGUGGUUUAAGUGUAUCCAAUGGUAAC